rnacentral:rRNA from 1 species
UACGGGGGGGGCAAGCGUUGUUCGGAAUUACUGGGCGUAAAGGGCUCGUAGGUGGCCAACUAAGUCAGACGUGAAAUCCCCCGGCUUAACCUGGGAACUGCGUCUGAUACUGGGAGGCUUGAGUAUGGGAGAGGGAUGUAGAAUUCCAGGUGUAGCGGUGAAAUGCGUAGAUAUCUGGAGGAAUACCGGUGGCGAAGGCGGCAUCCUGGACCAUUACUGACGCUGAGGCGCGAAAGCUAGGGGAGCGAACAGG